rnacentral:tRNA from 1 species
GAGGGUAUAGCUCAAGCGGUGGAGCGCAUGCUUGGCAUGGAUGAGGUCCUGGGUUCAAUCCCUGGUACCACCA